rnacentral:snoRNA from 17 species
UGUGGCAGUGAUGAGCCCUAACAGACCUGUAAUGAUUCUUGUGUAUAUGAUCGCUUGAUUCAAAGAACAUCUAAGGGACUGAGUUGUC